CUGGAUCCUUAACGCACUGAGCAAGGCCAGGGAUCAAACCCUCAACCUCAUGGUUCCUAGUCGGAUUCAAGUUUCCAGUGCGCCACAACAGGAACUCCUAUUUUUUUUUUUAUUUCAAAAACAAACAUGCACUUGGACAUAUAUCUCUAAAUAAAUGAGAUCAAAUCAUUUCUAUUGCUUUAUUAAAAAAAAAGGAUUGUAGAGAUUCUGAGAAGCAGGGUGGAGGAGUCUGGGAUUGAAUAUGGCAGUAGGGACUGGUCUUGGAGAAGAAUAGCAGAUCAUGAAGGGUGUAAAGCAGCCAGGGCUGGACUCCAGUGAGAAUGGUGGAGAUAGAAAGUAAAGGAACAAAUGUGACGCACUGCAAACCAGGAAGUUUGGACUUGGUAACCAAUUAAAUACAGGGAUUACAGUAGGAGGGAGUAAAAGAUAAUGACCAUUCUAAAUUGGUCAGCUUAAAAUAGCAAUGGCGACUGCAGGCAGCUUAGGGGGGAAGGAAAUUUGCUUUGUGGAAAGGUAAUGAAUUUAGUUUUAGUUAUUUUUUAUUUUUAGGCAUCAGCCUUUUUAUCUUGUGAUAAACGGCUUGAAAUAUCCUGUGGCUUGAAUGGAACAGCAGGAAUAGAUACUUAGAAUAUGAGAAUCAUGACGUCUGAAACCUGAAAUAGAAUUCAGAGAGAUGAUUAGAAAGCUGAAGAUGUAUUCUUCAGGGAAGGAGGGAAGACACACAGUAGGAACCUUGGACAAGGAAGGGGUGACAACAAAGAUUGAAAAGAAGGAAUGGGAGUUCCCGUUCUCAUGGCAACACCAGAUCCCCCACCCACUGAGCAAGGCCAGGGGUUGAACCCACAUCCUCAUGGAUACUAGUUGGAUUCAUUUCCCCUGUGCCACAUUGGGAAUUCCCAACAUAGGUAUUUUUAGAAGAGUCUUACCCAUGACUCCAUUCUGCUACAGAAACCCUAGGGGCAGCUCAGACACAGUUUUAUGCGGAUUGUCUUCAAAUAUAUACAGUAGGUUGCGAAAGUUAAAUAAGAUGGGGUGAAUUUUCCCACAGAGUUUUGACAGACUGUUUUUCCUCCCCCAAACAAAUAUUUGGCCUUGUCACCAUGAGUACGAAGCAUCUAGGAUGCAGAGGUGUCAGCCACUUGCUUUCAAGACUUCAGUCAAGUCAAGCUAUAGGGUGGGAAUUAGAAUUCAGUUCCCCAGAUUGGUCAGUUUUUUUUUUUUUUUUCCCUAUAGCCCAUUGAGAGAAUAAGGAUUAAUCUUCAACUCUCUGUAUCCUCUAUCUUAUCUCUUGGACCUACAUUCGGAUGAAGACUUGUUCAU
rnacentral:lncRNA from 1 species